rnacentral:rRNA from 1 species
UACGUAGGGGGGCAAGCGUUGUCCGGAUUUAUUGGGCGUAAAGAGCGUGUAGGCGGCCGUACAGGUCAGCUGUGAAAAACUCGAGGCUCAACCUCGAGACGUCGGUUGAAACCGUACGGCUAGAGUCCGGAAGAGGAGAGUGGAAUUCCCCGGUGUAGCGGUGAAAUGCGCAGAUAUCGGGAAGAACACCCGUGGCGAAGGCGGCUCUCUGGGACGGUACUGACGCUGAGACGCGAAAGCGUGGGGAGCGAACAGG